rnacentral:rRNA from 1 species
CCCUUAGAUGUUCUGGGCCGCACGCGCGCUACACUGACGAAUGCAACGAGCUUAUAACCUUGGCCGAAAGGUCUGGGUAAUCUCCAAAUUUCGUCGUGAUGGGGAUAGAUUAUUGCAAUUAUUAAUCUUCAACGAGGAAUGCCUAGUAAGCGCAAGUCAUCAGCUUGCGUUGAUUACGUCCCUGCCCUUUGUACACACCGCCCGUCGCUCCUACCGAUUGAAUGGUCCGGUGAAGCGCUCGGACCGCGGCCUCUUGACGGGUUUCCGUCGAUUGGCUGUGGGAAGUUCGUUAAACCUUAUCAUUUAGAGGAAGGAGAAGUCGUAACA